AGCAGCCGCGGUAAUUCCAGCUCCAAUAGCGUAUAUUAAAGUUGUUGCAGUUAAAAAGCUCGUAGUUGAAUUUCGGGAUCAAAGGAUCGGUCAUGCCUUGGUAUGUACUGGUUUUAUUGGUUCUCACCUUCUAAAGAACCAUAAUGUCAUUCAUUUGAUGUUAUGGGGAAUUAGGACUGUUACCUUGAAAAAAUUUAGAGUGUUUAAAGCAGGCUUACGCUUGAAUACAUUAGCAUGGAAUAAUGAAAUAGGACAUCAGAUUCUAUUUUGUUGGUUUCUAGGAUCGAUGUAAUGAUUAAUAGGGAUAGUUGGGGGCAUUAGUAUUCAAUUGUCAGAGGUGAAAUUCUUGGAUUUAUUGAAGACUAACUACUGCGAAAGCAUUUUGGCCAAGGAUGUUUUCAUUAAUCAAGAACGAAAGUUAGGGGAUCGAAGACGAUCAGAUACCGUCGUAGUCUUAACCAUAAACUAUGCCGACUAGGGAUCGGAUGAUGUUAAUUUUU
rnacentral:rRNA from 1 species